rnacentral:lncRNA from 1 species
AUCUGACAUCUUCUUCUGGGCACCAGGCAUGCAGACAGUGACGGCAUCUAUUCAGUUCCUGAGAAACUCUACAUCAGAAAGACUCUGCCCUCAUUCGCAUGUGACAAGAGGCACAGCCAAGUGGCCCUGUGGAACAUCACUUUGCCUCCAGCUUCCCAGCACAGAGAGACCAGGAAUAAGAAAACUCCUAAUUAGUGAUUUAGUCCAACCUCGGAUGGCCAUUGGCUCUCACCCUGGGAACUGGGUGAACCCCAUUGAUGUUCAAUAUUUUGCUCUCAUAAGGGUUUGAAAAAAUGAUGGAGGUGGU